AGUGCAAGUGAAGUCAACUUCGGCUGCGUUGGGUUUACUAUAAUCGAAAAAUGGAAAUGACCCCAAGUUUUAUUAAGAUCUGUGAUUUCUGUAAAGAGAAAAAAAUAAUGUGAUUAGAAGUAGGCGAGAUAUGCAAGAAAUCACAUUCAAUUAUUUUGGUGUGCAUUUAGGAAUACUGUACAACAAGAAAAACUUGGGACCGGGCAGUGAUUGAAAAGCUCUAAAAGCAGGUAAGCCACUGACUAACGCACAUUGCGCCCAAUGCCAGUUCCACUGUGCGUGUGACAGCGGCUAACCUGGUUUUGGGAAUGCGUCUUGGAGCAGACAAGCCAUCAUUCAACAAGCACGCCUUCACCAUGUCCCAGUACUGUUUUGCCGUUCGGUCAGGCCUACAUUGGAGGUCCUGCCCCUCCCUUUGUGCACCUACUGUACUUUAUUUAUGGCCUGCAUAGCGAGUGCACGUACUUGUUGGUCCGACCUCUGUGACCUGCUCUCUCAAAUACAACUUACAGACUGGAUACUAAUUAUCAAACGAUUGCAGCAAUUUAGCUGCAAACUAAACCAGGACAUCUUUAUACAGAAAUGCCUUUGUGUGACAUGAUGUGUUUUAUAAAGAGACUAUAACAAGUGAGGGUGAUUUAAUUCCUUUUUUGUAAGAAGUCUUUGAAUUUAUGGGCUAUAUCUUGUGAAGUCAAGCAGCUUUACAUUACAUGUUCCUGGCAAGUGGGUGAGUUUACCUUACAUUUAAAAGAAUAACAUAUUUAAUCGAAAGUCUUGAACCAAUUUAGCCAUUAUUGUUUCAAGGAGGACACACUGCAUCGCUUUCUAUGUGACUAAAAAAGCAGCUGGUUGGACAUUUGAAUGGAAACCUUUGGACGGCAUGCAGGACUAUUUAUGUCCACAAGUGGGCGUGAGAGUUCCACCGUAUCGGGUCUGUCCAGACAGUGGAGCAAAAAACACAUGGAUUUGGGAGAUUAUAUAACCCUCCCAGACAGAUCUCACUGUAAUCCAAUUCUUCACAAGUAAUCAUCAUAUCAAAAGUGGCCAUUUUGUGAAGCUUUAAUAUCCCAUUUAUACAAGUACAUGGAGUUGAAGGUAAAAAUUGAAGGUAAAAAAAGUUGACUGAGCAAUGAGAGUGCCAAUUAGUCGAGGUCAUGCUUUCCAGUCCAAAGGUGGCCCGCAGCCUAAAAGCCACAUCAAAUAUGUGGAAUGUUGUAUGUACAACAUUCCGCAUAUUUGCACAUUAC